UACAGAGGCUCCUUUUCAACUACCAUUAGACUGCUCAGUACAUUAAUUUAUCACAGAGAUGUUUUCUCCCUAAGCUAUCAUGACAGAGCACCACAAACUCCAGAUCUCUUCAGGUCUACCCAUCCCCUUUUGACGUGAGGCAAGAUAAUGAAGAAAUCAAUCCUAAAUUCCCAUUUAAAGCAGUUUAUGAGCUCUGUCUGAACAGGUUCUUUCCCCUAACAGAUGACUUUCUGAAAGCAAGCUCUGUACUCCUAAAGCUGCCAUAGAUUUACUCAAUUUCCUCCACAAGACUGAGCUUUUACAACUCUUCCCUGCCUCUCUGUGUCCGAUGAAGUAGAGUCAGGCGUGACCCAUGUCCUGAGACGCCUCCCUGUGCAUUCACACACACAGAGCUAGAUGACAACCCACCACUGCUACCCAUCCUCACUUCACCAGGGCACAGGCAGCUCUAAAUGUCUCCAGCUCUCCGAGAUGUCUGUGGCAGCAGCAGCAAGCUCCUCUCUGACCUCUGUUAAAAAUUACACGGUGGCCACAGCAGCCAAGGCAGGUGCCAGGUUCAAAAGGACAUUUCAAGUGCUGUUUGACCAGUGCAGCUGGAACUUCUCCCUUCCGCUGCUCAAGGCUGUCUCAUGCUUAGAAAAAAGGGAGGAUGAUCCCUUAUGCUCAUCAAGCUGGGGUUCUUCAAGAUAAAGCCAGCAGGACACCACCGUGUGUCCUCCACCCACCUUUUGAGGGCUUUGUAUCCAACCCACUGAAUUUCAAGAGAACUGUGGGAAUGUCACCAUGGUUCUCUGCUUGCUGGCCCUACCUAAGAGCAGAGCAAGGCAAAGGGCUUGUACAUGGCCCAGAGAGAUACGAGUCAAUAGAAAGAGCAUCACAUCAGCACAGAGCAUCUGUGCAGCUGCAGCAGGAUAACAUCAGCAGCCUCAUAUCAAACCACUGCAGCCACUGGGGGUUACCCAAGCACGUGAGCUGCAACAGAGAGACACAACAUCACCGUGUCUGGUUCCCCAUGAAGAUGAGAGCUCAGAAAGUUCUGGUAAUGCUGGAGUUUUCCCUUCGUUGAGGUCUGGGCAGCAAAACUGGAUAUUGCUUAAGGCAACGAAGAAAAUGAGAGAGUUCUGAAAAGUUAUGUCCUGGCUAAACCAAACCAGAAUGACUCAGCAGCUACAGAAGGGGUGGAGAGUAGGGAACUGCUGCAUGUAUGACCGAGUUCAUGUGCUUCUCAACUAAUAGUUUUCAACUAAUAGUAGCUCCGAGCUCUCACACAGAGAAGACACUUGUCUCUUGGCACAUGCCCUUUGGGAUAGACUCUGGAAUGACUGGCUGAACCUGACUGACUGUAAUAGGGAAGAAGAUGCCGACUAAGAAGAUAUUAAUACUGCAAUCCAAAGGCAUGAGCUUUGGGAGUCGCGCAACAGCUUUGAGACUCGCUCUGCUUUAGGGAACAUGGAUGAGAAAGAGGGAAAACAUCUGGAGGAUUACGUGAGAUGUGAGCCAGGUGUGGUCCAGGGAUCCCUGGGCUCGUCACCAGGCAGUCACGCUGCUGCUCACCUGUCUGGUUGUAAUGCAUCCAGUUCAGAAUGACUUCUGGGGCCCUGUACCAGCGCGUAACCACGUAGCCGGUCAUUUCAGCAUCAGCGUGCCUGGCCAAGCCAAAAUCCAAGAUCUGCAGUUCGCCAAAGGAAAGGGAGAAGAGUGGGCACAAAAGAAAAGAGAAAUCCUACAGGCAAGCAAGAAUCUACUUCCAAAAGGAAACAAAGCAGAUCCAAUCAGAUAAUAAGGAAGCUCCAACUACGCCACAGCCACCUACAGGACAGUUCAAAGAACUAACAGACAAAAAGCAGAGGAAAGGCACACAUGAACUCACCCUGUGGAUGAUGCCAGCUGAAUGGAUGUACUGCAAUAAAAAGAGGAGCCACAAUGUGAUCACCAGCAGACAAGACUUUCUGGUCUCCAGCAGAGAAACGAGAGCUACAAACAAGAACUUGCUGAGAACACAACCCUGCAGCAUGUUGCAGGUCCCCGGGGCAGCAGAUCCUGCACUGAAACCUCUGCACUGAAUUUCUGAUUAUUUGCCAUGAUGUUGCCAGUCUAAAGAGGAGGCGUGGAGCAGCAGAGAAGGGAUGGAGAUAUAGCUCUUUAGAGCAAGCAUACUAAUAGCCUCAAACUAUCAAAGGCAUCAGGAUUACAGGAAAGAGCAUGGGCAGCAGAUGACAGGAAAACUUUGUUAUUUUGGGUGUUAAACCAUGUGGGGAAAAAGUAAUUUGAUUGUCCAGUCACAAAACCUGACUACAUGGCUUUUAUCACACCAGUUAAACCUUCUGUGUGUUCUUCCCCCCUUUAUUUAAACUCCAGGUAACAGUGAUAUGGUGAAAGGUGUUAUUAAGAUGAACUCAUCAGUGCCUGGAAGUCCCUGCUCUGACUCCAGGUGAGGGAUGUUCCACUGUCUCCACACCCCAGGUUUGACUGCUUUCGGCUCUCAAAGCUGGUUGCAGCAGCAAAUUCCUUCCUUAUUCUAUUGAACAGAAAAUCAUUCCCUCCAUCUCCUCCCUGAGAGCCUCUGUGAGGAAUUCAGCAGAGGCUCCUGUUGCUGCCAGCCUCUUUCUACACAGUUUUGCUAAGGGUUUUGGCUAGUCAAAAAGCAGCACAACUGCUGUCAUGGCAAAACCAGUUGCUAGGGUAAUAACUGAUGGUUGCUUCAAUAACCAAUUGACUGAUAUGAACAAGCAGUCACUUUAUUGAUGUGUGCUGGAAAAAGAGCAGUUCAACAGCAAAUACCUCAGAGGAUGCCAUGAACCCCCCAAAUCUUCCUACCAGUGUUGGAAAGAAGUUUAGUUAUGGUCAACCCAGAGGUGACAUGUAGAGGAGACACAGGGAGUCACUAAACUCCUCCUGACCCACCUACCU